rnacentral:lncRNA from 1 species
CGGGGAGGGCCUUCAUGAGCUCGGUGGCUUUCUCGUAUUUGGCGAUGAAGUCUUUGUCGGCGAGAUGGGCGGCGGGGCGGACGCGGAUCUGUGUGGCGGGGGGCAGCUUGUAGUCGAUGGCCUUGUCGGAGAAGGGAGGGCAGCAGUCCACGUCGAGAGGCUGCUUUAGGUUGAGGUUUGUGCCGCGAGAGCACUUUGCCAGAUCUGGAGCUGGAAUGGGAGUGGCCAGAGCAUCGCCGGAGACCAGAUUGCUGGCGC